UUUCCCUAAUUUUUUUGGAGGGAAUACAAAUUGUAACUCCUUCCCUUUCAGAAUUCCCUCUCUCUUUUCUUUGUUCUUUUUCAAUUAGAACUCUGCCUCUCGCUUAAACAAAUUCCCACCAUGUCUCUCUUUUCAGUUAGGAUUUUUAUAUGACUCAGUCACAUCGAAAUGGCGCGGAAUAAAAAUUGAGAGCAACUCAGACCCCGACAGGAUGCUAACUAAUGAGUACCGACCGAAACAAUGCAAGCACAUACAAAGACUCUACUGGCAUAUAAUGCAAGAACGACAACUUCAACAAGCGGUAGCAAGUCUGAGUACCACUCCAAAGGUCAUCAACCAAGAAAUGAGUACAUUUAUUCACAAAGCAUAAACGAAGUGGAUGUGAUUUGUAGUUGUACCCCAAGGAAUGAAGUUAGAGAUGGAAUGGAAAUAAAAAUGGAUGUAGACAAUGUUAUUUGUUUUUUGGCUUAAGUCAUAUGUGGCCCUUUUAAGUUGUCUGCAUAAUUCAUUUAAGCACCUUAACUAAGGUUUGUACCUAUUAAACGCUUUAAUUAUUCAAAACUGUGUGUAUUGAGCACAAAAUGCUGACGUGGCUAAAUAAGUGUAUCUCACAGCCUAGUAGCGCGUGAA